rnacentral:misc_RNA from 1 species
UGUGGGAGCGAGCCUGCUCGCGAUGACGGCGGUACAUUCAGCAUAGCCGUCCAGACAGACCGCUAUCGCGAGCAGGCUCGCUCCCACG